AGUCUUAACUGGGCGUUAAGUUGCAGGGUAUAGACCCGAAACCCGGUGAUCUAGCCAUGGGCAGGUUGAAGGUUGGGUAACACUAACUGGAGGACCGAACCGACUAAUGUUGAAAAAUUAGCGGAUGACUUGUGGCUGGGGGUGAAAGGCCAAUCAAACCGGGAGAUAGCUGGUUCUCCCCGAAAGCUAUUUAGGUAGCGCCUCGUGAACUCAUCUUCGGGGGUAGAGCACUGUUUCGGCUAGGGGGUCAUCCCGACUUACCAACCCGAUGCAAACUGCGAAUACCGAAGAAUGUUAUCACGGGAGACACACGGCGGGUGCUAACGUCCGUCGUGAAGAGGGAAACAACCCAGACCGCCAGCUAAGGUCCCAAAGUCACAGUUAAGUGGGAAACGAUGUGGGAAGGCUCAGACAGCCAGGAUGUUGGCUUAGAAGCAGCCAUCAUUUAAAGAAAGCGUAAUAGCUCACUGGUCGAGUCGGCCUGCGCGGAAGAUGUAACGGGGCUAAACUGUGCACCGAAGCUGCGGCAGCGACGCUUAUGCGUUGUUGGGUAGGGGAGCGUUCUGUAAGCCUGCGAAGGUGUCCUGUGAGGGAUGCUGGAGGUAUCAGAAGUGCGAAUGCUGACAUAAGUAACGAUAA
rnacentral:rRNA from 2 species